rnacentral:rRNA from 1 species
GAUGAACGCUAGCGACAGGCCUAACACAUGCAAGUCGAGGGCAGCAUUUAAUAAGCUUGCUUAUUAAGAUGGCGACCGGCGCACGGGUGAGUAACACGUAUGUAAUCUGCCUGUAACAGGGGGAUAACCCGGAGAAAUUCGGACUAAUACCCCAUAAUAUCAAAAUGUUGCAUGAAAUUUUGAUUAAAGGUAUUCCGGUUACAGAUGAGCAUGCGUAUCAUUAGCUAGUUGGUAGAGUAACGGCCUACCAAGGCAACGAUGAUUAGGGGUUCUGAGAGGAAGAUCCCCCACACUGGUACUGAGACACGGACCAGACUCCUACGGGAGGCAGCAGUGAGGAAUAUUGGUCAAUGGGCGAAAGCCC